AGAGUUUGAUCCUGGCUCAGAACGAACGCUGGCGGCAUGCCUAACACAUGCAAGUCGAACGCCCCGCAAGGGGAGUGGCGGACGGGUGAGUAACGCGUGGGAACCUGCCCUUUGGUUCGGGAUAACUCGGCGAAAGCCGUGCUAAUACCGGAUACGUCCUUUGGGAGAAAGAUUUAUCGCCGAAGGAGGGGCCCGCGUCG
rnacentral:rRNA from 1 species